AUACGUAGGGAGCAAGCGUUGUCCGGAUUUACUGGGUGUAAAGGGUGCGUAGGCGGCUCUGCAAGUCAGGCGUGAAAUAUAUGGGCUUAACCCAUAGACUGCGUUUGAAACUGUGGAGCUUGAGUGAAGUAGAGGUAGGCGGAAUUCCCGGUGUAGCGGUGAAAUGCGUAGAGAUCGGGAGGAACACCAGUGGCGAAGGCGGCCUACUGGGCUUUAACUGACGCUGAGGCACGAAAGCAUGGGUAGC
rnacentral:rRNA from 1 species